CCCUUAGAUGUUCUGGGCUGCACGCGCGCUACACUGAUGCGCUCAACGAGUUUAUGACCUUGCCCGGAAGGGUUGGGUAAUCUUUUCAAAACGCAUCGUGAUGGGGAUAGAUUAUUGCAAUUAUUAAUCUUCAACGAGGAAUUCCUAGUAAGCGCGGGUCAUCAGCUCGUGCUGAUUACGUCCCUGCCCUUUGUACACACCGCCCGUCGCUCCUACCGAUUGAGUGGUUCGGUGAAGAUCUCGGACUUCGAUAUUUAUUCUUUAUUGAGUUUAUAUUGUGGGAAGUUAUCUAAACCUCAUCAUUUAGAGGAAGGUGAAGUCGUAACA
rnacentral:rRNA from 1 species